rnacentral:rRNA from 1 species
UACAGAGGGUGCAAGCGUUAAUCGGAAUUACUGGGCGUAAAGCGUGCGUAGACGGUUAUGUAAGUCGGGUGUGAAAGCCCCGGGCUCAACCUGGGAAUGCCAUUCGAGACUGCAUAGCUAGGGUGCGGAAGAGGGAAGCGGAAUUUCAGGUGUAGCGGUGAAAUGCGUAGAUAUCUGAAGGAACACCUGUGGCGAAAGCGGCGCACUGGACCAUAACUGACGCUGAGGCGCGAAAGCUAGGGGAGCAAACAGG